GGAGGAUUUAUUCUUUCACAUCUCAGUGAGCCUGGAUCCCUGCCAGAUGAGGAGCAGGAUGGAUGUGUAAACAGACAGCACUUCAUUUUCUUAAAGCAAUUCAGAAGAAAAGUGAAAGAGCUGAAUAAGCCCUGGCUUCUGUAGUCUUCUGUUCGAUCCAUCAUAAGCAGGCACUGGGAUCCUGCUGGGCACAUGGAUCUUGUAAGUAGAAUGUGCUAGACCCACUUUCUGAUUUUGUCAGAC
rnacentral:lncRNA from 14 species